GGCAGUAUACUUUAACUUAAAAGAUUUGAUUUGCACUCAAAAAAUGAAGUUCUAAUCCUUCUACAGCCA
rnacentral:tRNA from 1 species